CGCGUGAGGAACCUGCCUCAAAGAGGGGGACAACAGUUGGAAACGACUGCUAAUACCGCAUAAGCCCACGGCUCGGCAUCGAGCAGAGGGAAAAGGAGCGAUCCGCUUUGAGAUGGCCUCGCGUCCGAUUAGCUAGUUGGUGAGGUAACGGCCCACCAAGGCGACGAUCGGUAGCCGGACUGAGAGGUUGAACGGCCACAUUGGGACUGAGACACGGCCCAGACUCCUACGGGAGGCAGCAGUGGGGAAUAUUGCACAAUGGGGGAAACCCUGAUGCAGCGACGCCGCGUGGAGGAAGAAGGUCUUCGGAUUGUAAACUCCUGUUGUUGAGGAAGAUAAUGACGGUACUCAACAAGGAAGUGACGGCUAACUACGUGCCAGCAGCCGCGGUAAAACGUA
rnacentral:rRNA from 1 species